AGGAAUAUAGCUUAGAAGCAUAAGUGUCUGCCUGGCAAGUGCAAGGUUCUUAGUUCAAUUCUCAGUAUCCCUC
rnacentral:tRNA from 1 species